rnacentral:piRNA from 1 species
UGAAAGUACUCAAACACACGCACGCCU